UUUGACAAAUAUGUCCGGCACUAGGACCUAGUUCUUGCCCUCAUGACUCUUAAUUUGUGAGGGGAAAAAAAGGGCAUGAUCAACAAUCUUGGACAAUUUUUAUUCCUUAUUCCUCUCUUUCAUUCUCAUUAUUCAAUUCCCAAUCAUUUCCCUCCCUUAUUGAUUGAGGACUUUAGCACCUGGCUUCCAGUAUCCUUCUCCCUUGCAUUUUCUUCUACUGUGUGCCAUUUCAGUGUCCAUAGACAACCCAUCCAAAGACCCCAAACACUGACUUCUACCAUCUUACAACCGCUCCAUUGAGCCAUCCAUACACAGAGCCACACACCAAGAAUUGCUCCACAGCUUUAGACUCCACUUGUCUCUAUUCUGGUUAGCACUUUGCUCCACAACCAAGUCAGGGACUAGUGAGUCACUCUAGCCUUUUCCCUUCAUCUCUAGUCCAACCAUUACUUCCCUAGUACAAAAACUUAUUAUCUUCCUCCAUGGCUGUAAAACCACACAAAAAACAUGUCCAUUUGUUUAAAAAAUAAUAAAAUUAAAGGACAUUUUACAACAUUCCAUCUAGUAUUUAAAUUAUGAAACAACAAUCAUUUUACCUUAUUAGCAAACCAUGAAGGUUUAUACAGAAAUAUAUAUAGAAUGCACUAUUUCCAGAGAUCAGAAACCUUGUUAUACCCCUAUACCUAACAGUGUUUAGCAUAUAACAGUUAUUGCUUAACCAUCUGUUCAUUUGUAGGGGGGAUGUGAAGGAGAAAUGAAUAGCUUUAUUGCCUUGCUAGUCAAAGGGGUACCAGCAGGCUAAUAGCUGCAAAAACUGUGUUAAUGUCUCCACCCCCCCCAACCCCGGGAGAGUUUGGUGAGGAGUUUCAUAGCAAUGGUUCAAGGGCAGGAUUGCUGAUAAAGAUGGGUUGUGUCCAGGGCCUCUGUUCCUUUAAUCUGUCCUCUUUUUUUUCUGUUUCUGGCACGCGUGCAGCAUGCAGAAGUUCCCAAGCCAAGGACUGAACCCGCAUCACAGCAGUGACCCAAGCCACAGAAGUGAAAAUGCUGGAUUCUUAACCUGCUGUGCCACUAGGGAACUCCUGUUUAUUUUUGAAUAAAGUAAAUGUGACAUAUUUAAAGAUACCCGUAACAAUUAUUAAGCUGCACAUUUAACAGUUUAAUAAACAAAAGGAUUCACAUAUUAUUUUAUAAUUAGGGAGGAAAUGUUCAAAAACAAGUUCACAGGUUCAGUUUUUAAGGAGAAAUAAAAGUUAUAUUCAGUAUUUGAAGCUUUCAUCUUUAUCAGAAAUAACAACCAUACACACUAACAUUUUUUACAUCUGAAGAAUUUCUUUUUCCUUUUUUUUUUUUUUUUUUUUUUUUUUUUGUCUUUUGUCUCUUUUGGGCCACACCCGCAGCACAUGGACAGGCUAGGGGUCUAAUCAGAGCUGUUGCUGCUGUCUUACGCCACAGCCACAGCAACGCCAGAUCUGAGCCUCCUCUGUGACCUACACCACAGAUCACAGCAAUGCCAGAUUCUUAACCCACUGAUGGAGGCCAGAUAUCGAACCCGCAACCUCAGGGUUCCUAGUGGGAUUCAUUUCUUCUGUGCCACAAUAGGAACUCCCAAACUUUUGGAAUUUCAAUUUUAUAUACAAGGAAAGGAAACUGAGUAUAAGAAUGAGAAUUUCUUGUCAGGUAAAGGUCUCUUAUCUACUAUACUCUAUUAGUGGUUCUGCAGUUUAUUAGAAGUAUUGUGGUUUUAAGUCACAUCAGCUUUGAGUUGUCUUGCCAAUGGCAUAUACAUCUACUUGUAAAAAACAUUACGUUGAUAGAAAUAUAUCCUCUAAAAGGGGGGAAAAGCCUUUGAUUGAAUAUUAUGGUACUUCUCGGAGUUCCCGUUGUGGUGAAGUGGUUAACGAAUCCAAAUGGGAACCAUGAGGCUGCAGGUUCAAUCCCUGGCCUUGCUCAGUGGGUUAAGGAUCCAGCGUUGCCCUGAGCUGUGGUGUAGGUCGCAGACGCGGCUCGGAUCCCGCAUUGCUGUGGCUCUGGUGUAGGCCGGUGGCUACAGCUCCGAUUCGACCCCUAGCCUGGGAACCUCCAUAUGCCUUGGGAGCGGCCCUGGAAAAGGCAAAAAAACAAAAAAAUAAAAAUAAACAAAUAUUAUGAUACUUCUCUGUAUGGAACACUGAAGUGAAUUUAAUCUUCUGUUUUACUUCAAACAUUAUUUUUCUUUAAGAGUUUCUUUAAAAUGAGGUAUGUAGUUUGUAGGUACCAUCCCAAGUUCCUUGGGUCAAAAGUUAACAGUAUGGGGUCAUCAAGUAAAUUAAAUGUUAAUGGCAGAAAUUAAAGGACUUAAAUUAAAAACAUAGGGCCUAAUCCUAUGAUGAAGAAAAGUAAGGAAACAUGUUCCCACAAGAGUUGUAAACUGUUCACCUAUUUAAAAUAAAUUACUUCUUCAGAGCUGCCUUAAAAAGUUAAUUUGUUUUAAACACAUAAGCAUUUCUUUGCCAAAAGAGAACAUGCUGUAUUUUAUUAUCUUUAUUUCCCUAUAGAUUUGUUCUACAAGGAAUAAUUUUUUACAUAUUAAGAAUAGAAAUUUCAGUGUAAGGCUCAACUCUCAUAGAAACCUGGUCACAUAUCCUCAAUCAUAUCUCCUAGAGACCAAGGGGCUCAACGUUACUUCUGUUUGCUAAAAAUGAAUAAAAAAUGAAUGUUAAUAGAUCCCUGUUCUCCUUAACUUCUAGGACAAGGAUCAUCCAAAGUCAAUAAGGUCUCUGAGAAAGCCAACAGUUGUCAUUUUAAACAUUUCUUACUCAGUGUAAAGUCUAUUAAAAACCUUCAAAUUUCUUUUGUUAAAGGGUCAAGAAUAGAUCUAUUUUUAUUACUUGCAGGUCUUUUUUAUUACUUAAAUUGUUCCCCAAAUACUCACAUUUUAUCGGCUAGGACAAAAGUUUACCAAUCCUUGGUAUAUUUUAGACCACGUACAGUAUUUGAUUUACCAUUUGGGGUGUCACUUUUUUGAGAUGGGCUCUGUUAAAACUGGAGAAUAAACCUUUAAACAGUGAAAGGUUUAAAAUCAUAAAGCCGCUAAAGAAACGACAGAUGUUGGGUGGAUAGCAAUUCAGUGGCUCCCAUGGUUGAAAAUACUAGCGGUCACACUUAAGGAGUUAUCACAUGUAGAUGGGAAUCAAUUUGUUCUCAGCCAUUCCAGGGGGUAGUUGCAAAUAGGGGUGUUUUAUUAAGAUUCUAUGACUCCAAACCUGAAGACUAAAUUUCCCUUACUAGUGAAAUUUAAAUUAUUUUUAAAAAAUGUUUCAAAAACCUUUAAAGAGGUAUUUAAUACAUCUAAGCUCAGCAUUUUCACACUAAUAUUUUAGAAAGUAGAUAAGUGAAACAAAUGGGUUUAUCCCUUUACAAGUAUCCGUAUUGGUAACAGAUUGGGAGGGUGGUAGUUCAUACUUCUGUAAAUAUUACCAUUAUUAAUUAUAAAUGAAUUUUAGUUCAGUCCCAUAAUCUGUGUCCAAGAAUAUGGAAGCAAAAUAAUUCUUCGUAUAGGGGAAAAAGCCUUAUAUCUCCAUAAUCUUAACAGAAUCAGAGUUGAAAAUAUGAAUGAAUCUAUUCUAACCACUUUCAGAAACUGGGACUCUAAACUAUGCAAAGUAAAUUUCCCC
rnacentral:lncRNA from 1 species